UACGAAGGGGGCUAGCGUUGCUCGGAAUUACUGGGCGUAAAGCGCACGUAGGCGGCUUUCUAAGUCGGGGGUGAAAUCCUGGAGCUCAACUCCAGAACUGCCUUCGAUACUGGAGAGCUCGAGUCCGGGAGAGGUGAGUGGAACUGCGAGUGUAGAGGUGAAAUUCGUAGAUAUUCGCAAGAACACCAGUGGCGAAGGCG
rnacentral:rRNA from 1 species